GAUGAACGCUGGCGGCGUGCCUAAUACAUGCAAGUCGAGCGAACAGACGAGGAGCUUGCUCCUCUGACGUUAGCGGCGGACGGGUGAGUAACACGUGGAUAACCUACCUAUAAGACUGGGAUAACUUCGGGAAACCGGAGCUAAUACCGGAUAAUAUAUUGAACCGCAUGGUUCAAUAGUGAAAGACGGUUUUGCUGUCACUUAUAGAUGGAUCCGCGCCGCAUUAGCUAGUUGGUAAGGUAACGGCUUACCAAGGCAACGAUGCGUAGCCGACCUGAGAGGGUGAUCGGCCACACUGGAACUGAGACACGGUCCAGACUCCUACGGGAGGCAGCAGUAGGGAAUCGUCCGCAAUGGGCGAGAGCCUGACGGAGCAACGCCGCGUGAGUGAUGAAGGUCUUCGGAUCGUAAAACUCUGUUAUUAGGGAAGAACAAAUGUGUAAGUAACUAUGCACGUCUUGACGGUACCUAAUCAGAAAGCCACGGCUAACUACGUG
rnacentral:rRNA from 1 species